GACGAACGCUGGCGGCGUGCCUAAUACAUGCAAGUCGAGCGGACAGAUGGGAGCUUGCUCCCUGAUGUUAGCGGCGGACGGGUGAGUAACACGUGGGUAACCUGCCUGUAAGACUGGGAUAACUCCGGGAAACCGGGGCUAAUACCGGAUGGUUGUUUGAACCGCAUGGUUCAAACAUAAAAGGUGGCUUCGGCUACCACUUACAGAUGGACCCGCGGCGCAUUAGCUAGUUGGUGAGGUAAUGGCUCACCAAGGCAACGAUGCGUAGCCGACCUGAGAGGGUGAUCGGCCACACUGGAACUGAGACACGGCCCAGACUCCUACGGGAGGCAGCAGUAGGGAAUCUUCCGCAAUGGACGAAAGUCUGACGGAGCAACGCCGCGUGAGUGAUGAAGGUUUUUGGAUCGUAAAGCUCUGUUGUUAGGGAAGAACAAGUACCGUUCGAAUAGGGCGGUACCUUGACGGUACCUAACCAGAAAGCCACGGCUAACUACGUGCCAGCAGCCGCGGUAAUACGUAGGUGCAAGCGUUGUCCGGAAUUAUUGGGCGUAAAGGGCUCGCAGGCGGUUUCUUAAGUCUGAUGUGAAGGCCCCCGGCUCAACCGGGGAGGGUCAUUGGAAACUGGGGAACUUGAGUGCAGAAGAGGAGAGUGGAAUUCCACGUGUAGCGGUGAAAUGCGUAGAGAUGUGGAGGAACACCAGUGGCGAAGGCGACUCUCUGGUCUGUAACUGACGCUGAGGAGCGAAAGCGUGGGGAGCGAACAGGAUUAGAUACCCUGGUAGUCCACGCCGUAAACGAUGAGUGCUAAGUGUUAGGGGGUUUCCGCCCCUUAGUGCUGCAGCUAACGCAUUAAGCACUCCGCCUGGGGAGUACGGUCGCAAGACUGAAACUCAAAGGAAUUGACGGGGGCCCGCACAAGCGGUGGAGCAUGUGGUUUAAUUCGAAGCAACGCGAAGAACCUUACCAGGCCUUGACAUCCUCUGACAAUCCUAGAGAUAGGACGUCCCCUUCGGGGGCAGAGUGACAGGUGGUGCAUGGUUGUCGUCAGCUCGUGUCGUGAGAUGUUGGGUUAAGUCCCGCAACGAGCGCAACCCUUGAUCUUAGUUGCCAGCAUUCAGUUGGGCACUCUAAGGUGACUGCCGGUGACAAACCGGAGGAAGGUGGGGAUGACGUCAAAUCAUCAUGCCCCUUAUGACCUGGGCUACACACGUGCUACAAUGGACAGAACAAAGGGCAGCGAAACCGCGAGGUUAAGCCAAUCCCACAAAUCUGUUCUCAGUUCGGAUCGCAGUCUGCAACUCGACUGCGUGAAGCUGGAAUCGCUAGUAAUCGCGGAUCAGCAUGCCGCGGUGAAUACGUUCCCGGGCCUUGUACACACCGCCCGUCACACCACGAGAGUUUGUAACACCCGAAGUCGGUGAGGUAACCUUUUAGGAGCCAGCCGCCGAAGGUGGGACAGAUGAUUGGGGUG
rnacentral:rRNA from 1 species